ensembl:lncRNA
UCGCUAAGGAGAACAGAUGGCAGCGCCCGCCCGGUGUUCUAGGCCUCCUGGGGCCUCCUUCUGAAGCCAGAUUUCAGUAGAUCUUUUUUCACUGAGGACUGGAGCUGGUUGUUUAAAUGGUGGCCAGGGAAGUGAGAUGUUAAUAGGCACUAAGACAUUUGCUGCUGAAUUUUGGAGAGCUCCAAGCCUUCAUCACCGAGGGGGUGAAGUCCUCAGAAGGCUGGCCUCAAGGAUGCAGGAAAAGGUUUCGGGAAGCCAUAAGGAGAGAAAGGAGAGAUUUUCACAGUAAGAAGUGAGAAAUGAUGAGGGGACAGGGCGGCCUGGAGAGCAGAGUUGAAGGGGAAAAAUGCUUCUGGAAUCAGCUGUGGCUGAAAAGGAGAGACCACGCUGGGUGAGUGGGGGAGACGUGAAAGGUGGAGAGCUGGAUGGUGAGCUUUCUUUAAUUUAAUUUUUAUUUUAUAUUGGCAUGUAGUUGAGUUACAAUAUUGUGCUAGUUUCGGGUGUACAACAAAAAGAUUCAGUUAUACAUAUACCUAUAUAUAUUCUUUUUUAGAUUCUUUCCCCAUAUAGGUUAUUAUAGAAUACUGAGUAGAGUUCCCUGUGCUCUAUAAUAGGUCCUUGUUAGUUAUCUAUUUUAUAUAUAGUAGCAUGUGUAUGUUCAUCCCAACUUUCUAAUUUACCUCUCCUCCCACUACUUCCCCUUUAGUAACCAUAAAUUUUUUUCCAAAUUCUUUGUGUCUGCUUUUGUUUUGUAAAUAAGUUCAUUUGUAUCAUUUUUUUAAGAUUGCACAUGUAAGUGAUAUCAUGAUAUUUGUCUUUCUCAGUCUGGCUUGCUUCACUUAUUUAUGAUAAUCUCUAGGUCCAUCCAUGUUGCUGCAAAUGGCAAUUAUUUCAUUCCUUUUUUAUGGCUGAGUAAUGUUCCAUUUUAUGUACCACAUUGUCUUUAUCCACUCCUCUGUUGAUGGACAUUUAAGUUUUUUCCAUGUCUUGGCUAUUGUAAGUAGUGCUGCUGUGAAAAUUGCAGUGCAUGCGUCUUUUCAAAUUGUGGUCUUCUCCAGAUAGACGCCC